GACGAACGCUGGCGGCGUGCUUAACACAUGCAAGUCGAACGGAGUGGCGAACGGGUGGGUAACACGUGGGUGACCUGCCCCGCACUUCAGGAUAAGCCUGGGAAACUGGGUCUAAUACCGGCUAGUGUGGGCUGGGCCCGCGGCCUAUCAGCUUGUUGGUGGGGUAAUGGCCUACCAAGGCGGCGACGGGUAGCCGGCCUGAGAGGGUGGACGGCCAAGUUGGGACUGAGGCACGGGCCAGACUCGUACGGGAGGCAGCAGUGGGGAUUAAUGCACUAUGGGCGGAAGCCUAAUGCAGCGACGCCGCGUGAGGGAUGAAGGCUUUCGGGUUGUAGACCUCUUUCGCUAGCGACGGGGUAGGUGGAGAAGAAGCGCAGGCUAACUACGUGCCAGCAGCCGCGGUAAUAC
rnacentral:rRNA from 1 species